rnacentral:rRNA from 1 species
UACGGGGGGGGCAAGCGUUGUUCGGAAUUACUGGGCGUAAAGGGCCAGUAGGCGGCCAACUAAGUCCGACGUGAAAUCCCGAGGCUUAACCUUGGAACUGCGUCGGAUACUGGAUGGCUUGAAUUCGGGAGAGGGAUGCAGAAUUCCAGGUGUAGCGGUGAAAUGCGUAGAUAUCGGGAGGAACACCUGUGGCGAAGGCGGCCCCCUGGUUGGAUACUGACGCUGAUACGCGAAAGCGUGGGGAGCGAACGGG